UCAGCAUUUACUACUAAAACUACGGAGACAUUUGGUCUGGUUAAUGACAAUGAUCUACAUGGUAAUCGACUUGUGAAUAAGAUGUCAUCAAUGUGGUUAUAUUAUGUUUUACUCACUAAAUUAAAAUUAUGUCAUGAAUGACACCAGAUGUCGACGAGAAUAUACUUGAAGAAACAAAUCAUAUAACCGAGGAAGAGCGCAAGAGAGAUCAUAGAAAUGCUCUUAGGAGAGCUUCUUAUCGGAGGAAAAAGGAUAAGAUACAAGCAGAUGAAAAUUUACGGCCACGACCUAAAACAGGUAAGUAGGAUUUUUAUUAAUGCACGGUGCAUACCUUAUCAUACCAACUGUUUCUUUAUGUUCACGUUGACUGACAAAUUUGCUCACAAAGCGUACCGUCAUAUGCUUGAUCUUACAAAAGGAAUGUUCUGAUUUUCAUUAGUCACUAAAACAGACUUGUUCUAAUGAUCAUUUCACAUCUACUUUCAUAAAGGCACCGUUGAUAGCGCUAACUAUCCAGACUUAUUGCAUGAUGAUGCAACAUUACCAAACUCAUCAUUAGACGCCUCUGGUGUUACCCAUGAAAACGACCGAGAUAGGAGGAUACAGAGAAACUCUCGUAGCCGAGCAUGUUAUCAGAAGAAAAACAAGGAAUUGACGGUUGAUGAUAGAGAAGAUCUGAAUGAAAAGAUCCGAGGGAAGCGCGUAGAACGCUGCAAAAGCAUGUCCAUGAUUGAGAAAGGGCAGUCAAGUGCUCAAAGGAAGGCCAGUUAUGCUAAACGAAAAAACACCCCGUGCAAAGAAUCCAUCACACUCCCACGUCCAGACAUAACAAACUCAACAUCCGAUAGUCUAGCAAUACCCCUCUCUCUGCCUGCCGAAGAUGAUUCAUCAGAUGGCGACCCUCCCCCGGUCAUGCCGAAUUACGGUGUUUGCACCAAUGGUAUGUACAUGCUUGUGUUUGGUUCUGUUGCUCAUUCUCAUCCACCUUGUUCUCACAUGAUGCGGUCUAUUGCCACAUUCUCCGCAACUUUUUUGCAGACGACAUCGAUGUGUUCCUAGAACCCAUCAUGGGCGAUGAGCCAACACCAGCCAAAUUGAUGGAUGAGGAGUACUACAUGUAUCGCAACCAAGGUAUGGUCAACUCGGAACUUGGAAGGCGUGGAGCUUUAUUCUAAUUGUAGUACUAUGUGAAUAUUAGUUUGAAAAUCAUGUUUCAACAAAUACCUGUAGGAUCCGAUAAUGACACAUUCGAGGAUGACGAGGAAGCGAGCAUGUCAUCUACUAGGCCUAGCGAGGUUGAUCCAUUAGACUAUGUGUACACAAACAUACCAGACAGCACUCACAUCCUCAAGCUCGACGCAAACUGCAAACACUGCAAUGCCAGAAAGUUUGUGUCUGAGACAGAUAGAUUCUGCUGUCGCAAUGGACAGAUCGAGCUUAAACAACCGGAACCAAUCCCAGAGCUUAUGAGGCUAUGGCCUAGCAUGGAUGCAGAUUCUAGACAUUUUCGUGAGAACAUACGGUUCUUCAACGGGCAUUUCGCCUUCACAACCCUUGGCGUCAGCCUUGAUGAGAACUACAUCAACAUGAAGUCUGGGGUGUACACAUUCCGGGCACACGGAACCAUCUACCAUAAUGUGCACUCAUUCAGGCCUAGCUCACGUCCAGAACAUCUGCAGUUGUACUUCUAUGAUGACGACCCGAGCAUAACUCAUCGUAAGGCGGCCACCAAGCAAUUAGACCAGGAUGUCGUGAAGAUGUUAGUAUACAUACUAAAAGAAAACCCGUACUCCCAGCAAUUUAGGAGUUUGGGUGCACACAAGGACAACCUUGAUGAUUAUGGGAUAGACCUAAACAUCGAUAAGAGGCUUGACCAAAGAACAUAUAAUAGACCAUUGUCAUCUGAGGUUGCUGCAAUUUGGGUUGAGGGCAGCGACCUGACAAAAAGGUUUGACCGGAGGAUAACACUUUGUGGUAACAACAAUGAAAGGCAUAGUAUACGCGUGUCAUCCGGAGCAUAUGACCCGUUGUCUUAUCCCCUAUUCUAUCCAAGGGGGGAACUAGGUUGGCAUCCAAAACUACCUAAACAGGGUGUUCCUUGGGAGGCUGUACAACAUCCUCAACUGGUCCAUGAUGAUGAUGAGGAUGCAGGUAUGACGUCUGUUUCCCUUUUUGUCCAAAUAAUAAAUUAUUUCUCAAAUAUAUCAUCAUUUUGAGACUAUUCCAUCAUGUGUAGAGGGAAAUAGCAGGUUGUGCGUCUCUGUCAGAGACUACUACUGUUAUAUGCUGCAGACACGGCCUGCAAUCUUUAAUCCCAUGCUCUGUGGUGCACUCCUGCUGCAGCAAUGGGCGGUCGACAUGUACGUCAAGAUUGAGAGUUGUCGGUUGAGGUGGUACAGGAAGAACCAGACGCAGAUUCGUGCCGACUUGUAUAAAGGAGUUGUUGAUGCGAUCACAUCUGGGGAGACGCGAGCAAGCAUUGUUGGGGUUAGAAUAGUUCUCCCUGGGACAUACCCUGGUGGCAACCGCGACAUGAAGAAGAGGCAUAUGGAUGCCAUGGCAAUUGUCCAUACAUACGGGAAGCCUGACCUUCCUCACCAUGACUUGCAAUCCUAAAUGGGAAGAGAUAAAGAAUGAGUUGCUGCCUGGUUAAACGGCGCAAGACCGACCUGAUAUUGUGGCUCGGGUGUUCUAUGGCAAACUAGAACACAUGAAAUACGUGUUGUUCAAGAAGCAUAUCCUGGGUGUUGUUGUCGCUUACGUAUACGUAGUCGAGUUCCAAAAAAGGGGCCUCCCCCACGCACAUUUUUUGUUGAUCAUGCACUCAACAUAUAAGGUUAUCGUCCCGGAGCAGUAUGACCGACUCAUUUCCGCGGAGCUCCCAAACAAGCGCAAGUAUCCAGAAUUGUAUGCAAUGGUGGUAAAACAUAUGAUGCACAGACCAUGCGGUGCUCUUAAUCCCAAGAAUGUUUGCAUGCAAGAAAAUGGUUGCAAGUGUAGAUAUCCACGGCUGUUCAAUGAGAACACAGCACAGGGGAAGGACUCAUACCCAGUUUAUCGACGGAGAGAUGAUGGAAGACGUGCUAAGGUCCGAGGGAAGAUGUUGGACAACCGUUGGGUUGUGCCUUAUAACCCAUACCUUCUGCGGAUGUUCAAUUGCCACAUAAACGUUGAGGUCUGCUCUAGCAUAAAGGCCGUCGAAUAUCUUUACAAGUACAUUUACAAGGGCCAUGAUAAGGCUUCUUUCAGCAUCGACCAGCCCGACGCCAAUGGUAACAUUGAUGAGAUCAAGAGAUACGUUGAUGCAAGGUGGGUCACCCCUCCGGAGGCUAUGUGGAGGAUAUUUGGAUUCCCACUUUGCGCCAAUUACCCGCCUGUCUUGUAGUUGCCUCUUCAUCUCCCAAAUAUGCACAGGGUUGCAUUCAAUGCGCAUGCUGAUUUAAAGAAUGUUGUCGCCUCCGAAAAUGCUUCAAAAUCCAUGUUAACUGAGUAUUUCAAAGCUAACUAGGAACACCCUCGUGCUAGGCAUAUAUUGUACAAGGAUUUUCCCAGAAGCUUUACGUGGCAGAAGAAAAAGAAGUAUUGGAAGCCGCGUGUCGAGCGUUUUCAAAUUGGCCGCAUUGUGUUUGCCAAUCCCGCCGAAGGGGAGCGAUACUACCUGCAUGUGUUGCUUAACCAUGUUAUGGGCAAAACAUCCUUCAACGACUUGCUCACCGUGGACGGCGUGCUAUGUGGGAGCUUUAGAGAGGCUGCUGAAAGGUUGGGACUCAUCGAGGCAGACAACACGCUCGACGACUGUCUUAAUGAGGCUGAGCAGUGGGCGAUGCCAUGUUCACUUAGGAGGCUUUUCGCAACCAUCUUGGUGCACUGCGAGCCAGGCAACGUGCGUGAUCUAUGGGAUCGACACUUCGAGCCUAUGUCAGAUGACUAUCAUUGAUCACGCACGUCCCCUGACGAGGUUGAACAGAUGGUGUUGCUUGACAUUAGGGGUAUGUUGCAGUCCAUGGGUAAAGACAUUGUUGAUUUCGCUCUUCCAAUCAUAGAUGAUGCGUUUGACCCAAUAGAAGGCGAGGCAAGAGAGGUUAUCGAGGAAUCAACCGUUGAGUUUGAUGUGGAUGACACAAAAUUUGCAUCUUCACUGUACAUGGAGCAGAGGGCCGCAUACGAUGAGAUACUAGGGGCUGUUGAACGCGGUGACGGGGGUGUAUUCUUUGUUGAUGGCCCUGGAGGUACAGGGAAGACCUUCCUAUAUAGGGCGAUGCUUGCCACGGUGAGGAGCCAGAGCAAGAUUGGUAUCGCUACCGCGACGUCCGGCAUCGCCGCUUCUAUCAUGCCUGGCAGCAGGACUGCCCACUCGAGGUUCAAGAUCCCAUUGAGUUGCGAUGAUGGAGCCUCGUGCAACUUCACCAAGCAGAGUGGGACCGCCAAGCUGCUACGGAUGGCCUCAUUGAUAAUAUGUGACGAGGCCAGCAUGACGAAGCGACAAGCAGUUGAGGCAUUGGACAAUAGCAUGCACGACAUCAUGGGAAUAUGCGACCGACCCUUUGGAGGAAAGACUGUUGUUUUUUGUGGGGACUUUAGGCAGGUUCUUCCGGUCGUCAGGAGAGGGUCGCGGGGCCAGAUAAUUGAUGCAACCCUGCGAAGUUCUCAUCUAUGGAAGGGUAUGCGGCAGCUUCGGCUCAUCACCAACAUGAGGGCUCAUAAUGACACGUGGUUUGCCGAUUACUUGCUAAGGGUCAGCAAUGGCACUGAGGAUGUCGAUGAUCAAGGCAACAUAGUACUCCCUGAAGAUAUUUGUCUGCCGUCUACUGGCGAGGUUGACGACCUGGAGAAGCUUAUUGACCAUGUAUUUCCGAGUCUAGAUGACAAUAUGGCUGAUUCGAAAUACAUGACAUCUCGAGCAAUCCUUUCCACAACCAAUGACAAUGUAGACAAGAUAAACAUCCGCAUGAUAGAGUGUUUUCAUGGAGAUGAAGUAAUCUACCAUAGCUUUGACAGUGCGGAGGAUGACCCAUAUGGCUACUAUGCUCAGGAGUUUCUGAAUGGAUUGACUCCUAAUGGUCUUCCUCCGCAUGCUCCCCAACUAAAGCUGAACUGCCCUGUCAUACUUCUAAGGAACAUUGAUCCAGCUAAUGGACUGUGUAAUGGCACUAGGCUUGUUGUUAGAGGUUUUGAGAAGAACACCAUUGAUGCAGAAAUCGUGAUUGGACAACACGCUGGCAGGAGGGUCUUCCUUCCUCGAAUACCUCUCUGCCCAUUUGAAAAUGACAUGUUUCCGUUCAAGUUUAAGAGGAAGCAAUUUCCUAUAAGGCUUAGCUUUGCUAUGACCAUUAACAAGGCUCAAGGGCAGACCAUCCCGAUUGUUGGUGUCUACCUACCCAAUCCCGUGUUCUCACAUGGUCAGCUCUAUGUUGCUUUGUCUCGAGCCACCGCGAAGAGAAACAUAAAGAUACUCAUUCAGAUGGAGAAGUCGAAGGAGAAGACCAACAAGCAAAAGGACAAUCCAAAGAAGCGCAAAAGAACGACUGUGUCCUUACUGACCUCGAUGAAGAACUCGUCUACAAGGAAGUCCUUACAGGCUGAAGACCAGUUUUAAUAGCAAGGCAUGUUUUGUAAUGACAGGUUGAUUACUCUUGCGAUUGUCAAGACAUGUUGUAAUUCGUUUUUUUACCACUAUCUUUUUAUCCGUUAUUUUGAUAGCUGGAUGUCUACUCGAUCAACUUGAGCUACGCACUGCAGUUCAAUAAUCAGCCGUCGUAUUGGCACCAUCAUCGUUGUUAUGAUUUUUCUACUAUCGUUGUUUUUAUUGCAAAAUGCGCAUGCUGAUAGCAGCGUAGUUUUUUGUGUGUAAUCUGUGAUCCAGAUCUAAUGAUUGGCCUGCUAAAUACCUUGGACAUGCAAUGAACUUUUUGAAUUUAGGCAAGUUAUCAUACCCGUUCUUAUUUAUUUAUUUUGUGCGUCCUUAUUAUAUACCUAUUAUUCUGAUAUGUCACAACUAAAAGAUUCAGAUUUUGUGCAUCAGAUCAGUUUGUGCAACUUUUGAAAUUAUAUUUUGCAUAUGUACUUUUAAUAAAUAAUAAAAUGCAUGUAAUGCGUACUUGCGAAUAAGUUUAAUAAGGACGCACGACUAUGUAGAUUGUGAAAAUGCACAUGUCUGUUCGCUUAAGUGUGUAAUAUUUGGCAAAAGUUAUAUUACUUGUACUUUCACACAGCUAUACUGGUUAUUUAACAGUUCAAUUCAAAUUACAUAUUAUAUUUUGCAAUUGGUUCAUUUAACUUUAUGAGUUUACUGCGGAUCUGAAAGAGUUCUAAACUUAAAAUGCGUACAAGGCUGCAUUAAUCUAGGACAUGGUUAUUUUUGGUCCAGGGAGGAAGCAUCGUUUCAUGGAUUUCUGGUCCAUGAGAACUUGUGUUAGGCUGAUAUCAAGCAUCGUGUGUUAUGGUGCCUUAGCGGGACAACAAGGAUUCCACUAAGAUGUCUGGUUGGUCUGAGGGUGGUCGACUUAUAGUUGCACCCAGCCAAUACGAUUUGCUGUGUUGGCAUCAAAUAAUUAAAUGUGAAUCAAAAUGUGUAUCCUUUUAUAGGUGCCAUGUAAUACUAGGAUUCUCUUAUAUAUAGAGCUCAUUAUAUAUAGAGCUCCUAUCCAUGCUAAACCGAGAGCAUUUGCCUAAUAACGUUGCUACUAAUGCAUACGCAUAAAUAGACGUGCUCUACUAUUGUUUCGAGUGUUGUACGUAUGUGUGUCAUUAAGACAGCUGUGAUGAAAAAGAAUAAACAAUAUUCUCCCGUAGUGCAAUUAUAUUAUUUGAUAUAGAUGAUUAUUGUAAAAUUAUGUGUUAGGCAUGAUAUAUGUGAAAACACAAAAAUUGUCUAUUGUCCCAUAGUUACGCACGGGCAUUUACCUAUAUCAUAAUUUUAUAU
rnacentral:lncRNA from 1 species